rnacentral:rRNA from 1 species
GACGUAGGGUGCGAGCGUUGUCCGGAUUUACUGGGCGUAAAGGGCGCGUAGGCGGCUCGUUAAGUGUGAAGUGAAAUCCCUAGGGCUCAACCCAGGAACUGCUUUACAUACUGGCGGGCUUGAGGAUUGGAGAGGCUUGUGGAAUUCCUGGUGUAGCGGUGAAAUGCGUAGAUAGUCGAUAAGGAAGACCAGUGGCGAAGGCGGGUCUCUGGACAGUUCCUGACGGCUGAGG